UACGUAGGUGGCAAGCGUUGUCCGGAUUUACUGGGCGUAAAGAGCGCGCAGGCGGUUAUUCAAGUCGAAUGUGAAAGCCCCCGGCUUAACUGGGGAGGGUCAUUCGAUACUGUUUAACUUGAAGGCAGGAGAGGGUAGUGGAAUUUCCGGUGGAGCGGUGAAAUGCAUUGAGAUCGGAAAGAACACCAACGGCGAAAGCACUCUGCUGGGCCGACACUGACACUGAGAGACGAAAGCUAGGGGAGCAAAUGGG
rnacentral:rRNA from 1 species